rnacentral:rRNA from 1 species
UACGUAGGGGGGCAAGCGUUGUCCGGAAUCAUUGGGCGUAAAGCGCGUGUAGGCGGUUCGAUAAGUCUGCUGUGAAAGUCCAGGGCUCAACCCUGGGGAUGCCGGUGGAUACUGUCGGGCUAGAGUACGGAAGAGGCGAGUGGAAUUCCCGGUGUAGCGGUGAAAUGCGCAGAUAUCGGGAGGAACACCAAUUGCGAAGGCAGCUCGCUGGGACGUCACUGAACGCUGAGACGCGAAAAGC